rnacentral:rRNA from 1 species
AUUGAACGCUGGCGGCAUGCUUUACACAUGCAAGUCGAACGGCAGCGCGGGCUUCGGCCUGGCGGCGAGUGGCGAACGGGUGAGUAAUGCAUCGGAACGUGCCCCGUAGUGGGGGAUAGCCCGGCGAAAGCCGGAUUAAUACCGCAUACGACCUGAGGGUGCAAGCGGGGGACCGAAAGGCCUCGCGCUAUUGGAGCGGCCGAUGUCGGAUUAGCUAGUUGGUGGGGCAAAGGCUUACCAAGGCGACGAUCCGUAGCUGGUCUGAGAGGACGACCAGCCACACUGGGACUGAGACACGGCCCAGACUCCUACGGGAGGCAGCAGUGGGGAAUUUUGGACAAUGGGGGCAACCCUGAUCCAGCCAUGACGCGUGCGGGAAGAAGGCCUUCGGGUUGUAAACCGCUUUUGUUCGGGAAGAAAUCCUAUGGGCUAAUACCCCGGGGGGAUGACGGUACCGGAAGAAUAAGCACCGGCUAACUACGUG